rnacentral:rRNA from 1 species
UACGAAGGGGGCUAGCGUUGCUCGGAGUCACUGGGCGUAAAGGGUGCGUAGGCGGGUUUUUAAGUCAGGGGUGAAAUCCUGGAGCUCAACUCCAGAACUGCCUUUGAUACUGAAGAUCUUGAGUCCGGGAGAGGUGAGUGGAACUGCGAGUGUAGAGGUGAAAUUCGUAGAUAUUCGCAAGAACACCAGUGGCGAAGGCGGCUCACUGGCCCGAUACUGACGCUGAGGCACGAAAGCGUGGGGAGCAAACAGG